rnacentral:rRNA from 1 species
AUGAAUACCUAUGGAUUCCACCUCCUUGACUUCACCCCCAAUGCUGUCCUGACCAUGGCAGUUUUCGCACAUCUCUGCGAAAACUUUGUCGGAGUCCUUCCCAACGUAGCCCUCUUCCGCCACUUCUUCAUACCCCGAGUAGAGAGAGGAGAGGCUCUAUCCGGCGGAAUCGCCUGGAUCUCAAGGGCCGGCAAGAAGGAAACGUAUCUGGAGGGAGAAUUCCACGGCAAGUGGGAGGAGUGGAGGGCAGAUUGGUGCUGGAUUGACGAGGAGAGCCCGCAGCCAUUCACCACCCGGCGUCGAACCCCAGUAGCACGCGGCAGCGAUUGGAGCUACGUCGCCCCGGAAGACGACAGGCUGAAGAUUGCCGUCACCAGGAUCUUGCGCCUCAGGCUUGCCGAGCUUACUGUUGGCGCUGUUGGUGUAGACUUUCUUCGCCGCCGCAUCGCCCCUCUGCAGGAACGGGGGAGACCCACUUGGGAGUUCAAGAACGCGGCGGACAUACUAAGUGUCGACAUAGGUAGGGUGUAUGCUAACUUACCAUCUGUCGGCAUAGGUAGGGUGUACAUGGACAGACCAUGUGUCGGCGUAUGUGGGGUGUACAUAGACAGACCAUGUGUCGGCGUAGAUAGGGUGUAUGCCAACUAG